AGUUCAACAAUUUCAUUGGAGAUUUCGCAAAAAUGAACUAUUGGAUUGGGUCUUCGAAAUUUUGAAGGAGAAAUUAAAUAAAACAUAGACGUAAAGGAGAUUGAGAAGAAGAAUUAGAAGAAAGGGACAAUCGUUGAAUAAAUGAUUGAAGAAGUAGUGAGGGACAGUGAUCAUUUGAGGAGCUUAAUUAAUAUUUGUGUAGCUAAAAGGAAAGUGGGUGUAACUUCCUUAAAUGACACAAGCUCAAGAUCACAC